rnacentral:rRNA from 1 species
UACGGAGGAUCCGAGCGUUAUCCGGAUUUAUUGGGUUUAAAGGGUGCUCAGGCGGGCCAUUAAGUCGGCGGUGAAAUUUUGCGGCUCAACCGUAAAAGUGCCUUCGAUACUGGUGGUCUUGAGUGUGGAUGAGGUAGGCGGAAUUUGUGGUGUAGCGGUGAAAUGCAUAGAUAUCACGAGGAACUCAGAUUGCUAAGGCAGCUUACUAAGCCAUAACUGACGCUCAAGCACGAAGGCGUGGGGAUCAAACAGGAUUAGAUACCCU